UACGGAGGGUGCAAGCGUUAAUCGGAAUUACUGGGCGUAAAGCGCACGCAGGCGGUUUGUUAAGUCAGAUGUGAAAUCCCCGGGCUCGACCUGGGAGCUGCAUUUGAAACUGGCAAGCUAGAGCCACGUAGAGGGGGGUAGAAUUCCAGGUGUAGCGGUGAAAUGCGUAGAGAUCUGGAGGAAUACCGGUGGCGAAGGCGGCCCCCUGGACGAAGACUGACGCUGAGGUGCGAAAGCGUGGGUAGCAAACAGG
rnacentral:rRNA from 1 species